rnacentral:rRNA from 1 species
GACGAACGCUGGCGGCGUGCUUAACACAUGCAAGUCGAACGGAAAGGCCCUGCUUUUGUGGGGUGCUCGAGUGGCGAACGGGUGAGUAACACGUGAGUAACCUGCCCUUGACUUUGGGAUAACUUCAGGAAACUGGGGCUAAUACCGGAUAGGAGCUCCUGCUGCAUGGUGGGGGUUGGAAAGUUUCGGCGGUUGGGGAUGGACUCGCGGCUUAUCAGCUUGUUGGUGGGGUAGUGGCUUACCAAGGCUUUGACGGGUAGCCGGCCUGAGAGGGUGACCGGCGACAUUGGGACUGAGAUACGGCCCAGACUCCUACGGGAGGCAGCAGGGGGGAAUAUGGCACAAUGGGCGGAAGCCUGAUGCAGCAACGCCGCGUGCGGGAUGACGGCCUUCGGGUUGUAAACCGCUUUCGCCUGUGACGAAGCGUGAGUGACGGUAAUGGGUAAAGAAGCACCGGCUAACUACGUG